UUUUCUCAACAUAUAAUUCCAGAAGAAUCUUUCCAGUUCUUUCAUCUUUUUGUUCCAACUAUGGACAAACAUGGGUUGGACUUCAGAAUUCUCUUUUCUCCAAACCGUCAAGGACUGCUCUUCGACUUCAGCUCUCAACUGGAUAUGCAAUUUUAGGUCAGUUUUUGUCUCAAUCUUUAGCCUAAUCAGAUUUUUCAAUUUCAUAGCUAAUGUUUAAAAAUGGGCUCAAUUUUCUGUCAGAAAGAAGUAGAUGUUUCUUCGUUGUGCUUCAUCGGAUUAUGCUCCCGCUCGGUACAGAAAAAACCUCUUAUUAGCUUCAAAUUUCUUGCUUACCAAACCAGUCACCGGUACCUAUUUCAGUAGUGAAUGUAAUUUCUAGAAAAAAUAUAGGGUUAUCUUUGUUUCAUACUCACUGUAACGAAGAAUUAAUGGUUAUGCUGUAUCCACCUCUAUUUAUUUGCAGGCAAGAGGUGUCAUUAUGUGUUGGAACUUGGAACCUACCUAAUUCCACAUUCUAACAAGGCAAGUGGUAAUUCAUAUUGUCCUCUGACUUGAUCUCUUUCUCUAUCGUUUUCAUUGAACUUUACAGCAAUCUGGUGAUUAUUUUGUGUUUUACAAUAGCCUAUCUAGAGGGGGUAUGCCUCGAUCAAUAAGCUUGCAGAAAAGGUCUACUGACCAUGCUAGGAUAAGAGCAUAAGCACAUUGAGUUGCCAUGUUAACCAAAAAAUCUAAUUAAAAUGGAAUAACUUUGUGCAGUUAAGGUGUUUGACGAUAUGCCUAAAACAACCAAAUAGUUUUAUUUUCCCAUAAGUGUUUUAACAUAAAUAUCUUUCCUUUUGCAAGGCCAGAACUUUUGAUAACACAAAUAUAAUUUAUUUGAAACAUGUUAUGCAGCGUAUUCUUUAAUGGGAACCUAUUUGGAAAUUUAUUUGUAUCUAAAAAGGGAAGUUUUUCGUGAAGAAAGUGAAUAUGGAUAACUCUUUCAUGGUGCCCUAUACUCUGGUCGUGCUAGAAUUACUAAUGUUAUUUGGUCAAGAAUUAUCAUUAGCAAAAAUAUUUCUUUCUAUCUCUUUGUCUAGACAAUCUAUUUGAACACUAAGGUAUACAUGAUUAAUAUCAUCGAUUAUUUCUUCUUUUUAUUUGAUAUUUAGGUCAGUAGAAAUGUGUAUCUGUACAAUCCUUCUAAUGUGUUUCUCAAUCUAAUGAUGAUUAAAUACAUUACUUUGAUAUCUGAACUCCAUGCUAGCCUCUCUAUUUUCAUUGUAUAAGUGAAUUUUUUUUUUUUUUUUUUUUUUUGUUUUUCCCGGUGGUAUGUGUGCCUAUAAUUAGGUUAUUAUACGUUAAUGAAUAAGAUGGACCCAUCACUCGGCCCAUGAUUUAUGCAGCACCAAGGUGAUAGUAUAUGUUUUGUUGUUGUCCAGACACAUGUUCUGCUUGAUAGUGAGCUGCAGACAGCUCAUAUUAAGAGCAUAUGAAAGGAGUGGAAGGCUCCUACUGGUCCAGGGCACAUUGGCAUGUUAUUUACGAGGAAAUGGUUGCAAGAUGACAACAACAUAACGUGAGAAAACUGUCAACAAAGUAACUCUUUUUAUGUUGAGGAGUAUAUUUCUUUAACAAGAAAAUCCCCUAAGGCUGUUGAUACUAUUUUUCCAGAGUCAGUAUAUCUCCAAAUAUGAGGAUAUCUCCUGUACACGAGAAUCUAACGUGCCUUUCUUUUUGAACUUCAUAGUAGUAACUAAUUCAGUUUUGUUUCUAACUGAACCAUUGUUGCGACAAUUUAUGUAUUAUUACUUGCGGAGAAGUUGUACGACAUCAACAACAACAUACCCAGUGAAAUCUCACAACUGGGGUUUAGGGAGGGUAUUGUGUACGCAAACCUUACCCCUACCUUUGGGAGGUAGAGAGGCUGUUUCCGUGCAGAAUUUGUUAUUAGGAUUGAAUAAUAAGAUAUAACAACUUAAAACUAAUUAUGAGGGUAACGAAAACGAGAUAUAACUGGUAAGAAUUUCAGAAGUAGAAUCUUUUGGUCAGCUGUGAAUAGAAGGCUGGGAAGGGAGGUGCGCAAAAGCCUUGCCUGAGAAGACUAAAGUAUGAAAAAUGAUGGAAGUGGAAGUAAGAAAUGAUUAUGGAACUUUUAGUUUCUAGAUAUACAUCUCUAGAUGCUACUAUAUAUCCUAAAAAGUCCAGAAGGAGGGCCUAAAAUUUGUUUCUGCUGGUGCUUGUAAUUUUCUACUUUACUGUCUCAUUUAAAUGAUACAUUGAUUUAGGCAGAAAACUUAAACAUUGCAUGACAGAGAACAUUUAGAGUCCUGUUGCAUGAUUCAAAUUUCUUUCACUUAUAUGGUCUCUUGGCACAUGAUUUGAGAAGUUAAUUAUCGAACCUAAAGUCUAUCUACAGCUGAUAGAAUCGGAACACGAGAAGCAGACAAACUUAUCCAAACGUCAUGUCGCCACCGCACAAGCCAGACAACCACCUUGCAUUGUAGCUAUCUGAAAUUUUCUCUGUUCGUUGGUUCAUCCAUCUAUUUUAUAAUCCCACUGCUGGAAAAGGUUGGGUUGCGGAGAUGUUGGAAGUGGCUACUUGGCUGAACUGAGUCGAACCAAAUGUUACUUUGCUACGGAAGUCACAGAUAAAGUAUCUUUAGCCAGCCGCCACGAGGCUUCUUCGUGCUCAGACCAAAAGACAAAUUUGACAAUCCCUUGAUCAUCUUUUUCUUCCAUCACUCUACAAACACUUCGAGACUGAUAAGUUCUCAUGUUUGGUCAUGGAUUCUACCCUGGCGGGAAUCUCCACACUCUUACGCAGAGACAGCAUAGGAAACAUUUUUCUGAACAAGCGGUGAAGUAUAACCUCCUUUCAGUCUUUGGA